rnacentral:rRNA from 1 species
UACGGGGGGGGCUAGCGUUGCUCGGAAUCACUGGGCGUAAAGCGCACGUAGGCGGAUUGCUAAGUCAGGGGUGAAAUCCUGGAGCUCAACUCCAGAACUGCCUUUGAUACUGGCGAUCUUGAGUCCGGGAGAGGUGAGUGGAACUCCGAGUGUAGAGGUGAAAUUCGUAGAUAUUCGGAAGAACACCAGUGGCGAAGGCGGCUCACUGGCCCGGUACUGACGCUGAGGUGCGAAAGCGUGGGGAGCAAACAGG